GGAGGAAGCUUGCUUUCUCCGCCGGCGACCGGCGCACGGGUGAGUAACACGUAUGCAACCUGCCCCUGUCAGGGGGACAACCCGCCGAAAGGCGGGCUAAACCCGCGUACAUGCCACCGGGGCAUCCCGGAGGCAGGAAAGGCUUCGGCCGGACAGGGAUGGGCAUGCGGCGCAUUAGGCAGUAGGCGGGGUAACGGCCCACCUAACCGACGAUGCGUAGGGGUUCUGAGAGGAAGGUCCCCCACACUGGUACUGAGACACGGACCAGACUCCUACGGGAGGCAGCAGUGAGGAAUAUUGGUCAAUGGUCGGGAGACUGAACCAGCCAAGCCGCGUGAGGGAGGAAGGUACAGAGUAUCGUAAACCUCUUUUGUCAGGGAACAAAGGCGGGGACGUGUCCCCGGAUGAGUGUACCUGAAGAAAAAGCAUCGGCUAACUCCGUGCCAGCAGCCGCGGUAAUACGGAGGAUGCGAGCGUUAUCCGGAUUUAUUGGGUUUAAAGGGUGCGCAGGCGGUCUGUUAAGUCAGCGGUCAAAGCCCGGGGCUCAACCCCGGCCCGCCGUUGAAACUGGCAGUCUCGAGUUGGAGAGAAGUAUGCGGAAUGCGCGGUGUAGCGGUGAAAUGCAUAGAUAUCGCGCAGAACUCCGAUUGCGAAGGCAGCAUGCCGGCUCCACACUGACGCUGAGGCACGAAAGCGUGGGUA
rnacentral:rRNA from 1 species